rnacentral:rRNA from 1 species
UACAGAGGGGGCAAGCGUUAUUCGGAAUUAUUGGGCGUAAAGGGCGCGUAGGCGGCCUGGCAAGUGGAAGGUGAAAUCCCUCGGCUUAACCGAGGAACUGCCCUCCAAACUGCUUGGCUUGAGUCCGGGAGAGGUGAGUGGAAUUCCCAGUGUAGCGGUGAAAUGCGUAGAUAUUGGGAGGAACACCAGUGGCGAAGGCGGCUCACUGGACCGGAACUGACGCUGAGGCGCGAAAGCGUGGGGAGCGAACCGG